AAAUUUUUUUACUAAGUCUUAUAUUCUAUGUAUUAAAGAAAUUAAGUUGCAAACUUAAAAAAAUAAUUUAAAUUAUUAAGACUUAAA
rnacentral:tRNA from 1 species